rnacentral:rRNA from 2 species
AGUUACCAGCACGUUAUGUGGGCACUCUAAGGAGACUGCCGGUGACAAACCGGAGGAAGGUGGGGAUGACGUCAAGUCAUCAUGGCCCUUACGGCCUGGGCUACACACGUGCUACAAUGGUCGGUACAAAGGGUUGCCAAGCCGCGAGGUGGAGCUAAUCCCAUAAAACCGAUCGUAGUCCGGAUCGCAGUCUGCAACUCGACUGCGUGAAGUCGGAAUCGCUAGUAAUCGUGAAUCAGAAUGUCACGGUGAAUACGUUCCCGGGCCUU